AACGCACAUUGCGCCCAUUAGUAUUCUAGUGGGCAUGCCUGUUCGAGCGUCAUUUCGACACUUAAGCCCUUGUUGCUUAGUAUUAGGAGUCUACGGUAAUAGCGUAGUUCCCGAAAGUUAGUUGGCGGAGUUAGCGUGUACUCUCAGCGUAGUAAAUUUUUCUCGCUCUUGUAGUAGUGCUAAUUACAGCCAUUAAACCCCCUUUUUAAGGUUGACCUCGGAUCAGGUAGGAAUACCCGCUGAACUUAA
rnacentral:misc_RNA from 1 species